rnacentral:rRNA from 1 species
AGAGUUUGAUCCUGGCUCAGAUUGAACGCUGGCGGCAGGCCUAACACAUGCAAGUCGAGCGGUAGCACAGAGAGCUUGCUCUCGGGUGACGAGCGGCGGACGGGUGAGUAAUGUCUGGGAAACUGCCUGAUGGAGGGGGAUAACUACUGGAAACGGUAGCUAAUACCGCAUAACGUCGCAAGACCAAAGUGGGGGACCUUCGGGCCUCAUGCCAUCAGAUGUGCCCAGAUGGGAUUAGCUAGUAGGUGGGGUAACGGCUCACCUAGGCGACGAUCCCUAGCUGGUCUGAGAGGAUGACCAGCCACACUGGAACUGAGACACGGUCCAGACUCCUACGGGAGGCAGCAGUGGGGAAUAUUGCACAAUGGGCGCAAGCCUGAUGCAGCCAUGCCGCGUGUGUGAAGAAGGCCUUCGGGUUGUAAAGCACUUUCAGCGGGGAGGAAGGCGGUGAGGUUAAUAACCUCAUCGAUUGACGUUACCCGCAGAAGAAGCACCGGCUAACUCCGUGCCAGCAGCCGCGGU